GGAGCUUUGCUGAAACUGCACAAAAAAUGGAGCUGGGGGGUUCCCUGGUCCCCGAUGUUGGGGCGGGGAGCGCGGCGCCGAGGGAGGGGGCGGCGCAGACCAGCCAAGGGGACACCUGGUCGAGCGCAGCCGCCGCUCCGCUCGAGCCCUGCGCUCCAGUGCCCCCAGUGCCCCCACUGGCUGGAGAGCUCGCCCAGACCGGGGGUCUUCCUCCCUCGCUGACAGUUGUUACCUGUUAAGUCAUUAAGAUUCAGAAAGGGUGGAACAAAUGAAAAAAAUAAAUAAAGUUGCAUUUUCACCUCUAUUUGGAAGCAUUAAAAGAUUCUAACUGUUAGAAGAGUACCAAUUCUGGAAAACAACC
rnacentral:lncRNA from 1 species